AGGUGGGACCCACAGCCCAGUGCACAGAGCUCACUGCAGCUGCUGCCUUGCCAGCUCCAAGACACUCCAAGGGAUGUAGUUCCAGAGGCAAAGGAGCUGCCACCGUGUGUGGGCUAUAGUGGCUGAGCCACACUCAUUUUCUGCCUUGCUUUACCCACUGACACUUUCCUGGGACUGCUGCCAAGGGCUUUUUUUAGUUUUUUGCUGGUUUUGUUUUUGUUUUAAACAGAGAUUUGCAGCUUCCCCCACCCCCAUCCACCAGACUUUUUUAGAAGGGGGAGCAGAGCUGCUCCCCUUUUUCCUGUUCAAGACAUGCCCCCCCAGGAGCUGCUGGAUUAUUCACCCGCCCUGCGAAGAAACAGCACUCCGAGGGGCAGUGGCCCACAGCUGGGCAUCAAAUGUGUCCUGGUAGGUGAUGGGGCUGUGGGCAAGACCAGCCUGAUCAUUAGCUACACAACAAAUGGAUAUCCUGAUGAGUACCAGCCCACUGCCCUGGACACCUUCUCAGUGCAGGUUCUGGUAGAUGGAGCCCCGGUUCGGAUCCAGCUCUGGGACACAGCUGGACAGGAGGACUUUGAUUGCCUCCGAUCACUUUGUUACCCUGACACUGAUGUCUUCCUUGUCUGCUUCAGUGUGGUAAACCCCAGCUCCUUCCAAAACAUUACUGAGAAAUGGAUCCCUGAGAUACGGACUCACAACCCCCAGGCGCCAGUGCUCCUGGUGGGGACGCAGGCUGACCUGCGGGAUGAUGUCAAUGUCCUCAUCAACCUGGACCGCUACCAUGGGAGGCCUGUGCCCAAGCUUCAGGCUGAAGGUCUGGCAGAGAAAAUCCGGGCACAGACUUACAUGGAGUGCUCAGCGCUGACCCAAAAGAACCUGAAAGAAGUCUUUGACACAGCCAUUGUCAGUGCAGUGGAGCACAAAGCCCGACAGGAAAAGAAGAUGACAGCCAAAGGGAUCAAAACCCUCUCCAAGUGCCGUUGGAAGAAGUUCUUCUGCUUUGUCUGAAGCUGGUUUGGAAAAUCACCUUAUGCCAGUACUGAUCCCACACCUUCUUGGAGAGCCAUGUGACUGCACCUAUGGCUUCAGCGAGGAGGGUGCUGUGAGCUGUUGAGGCUUGGAGUCCUGGCACUUGCUGGGUUAUGGUCACAGGCCUGGGAGACAUGAAAUGGACUUCGAUUGCACCAGGAGUUAUAGCUUGAUCCACUGAGGCCUGAAGCAAAGGAAACCCUUAAAGAUCCUGCCAUAGGAAGACACACACUCUGUCUGCUCCAUGCCCGCCCAGCGAAGCAGCCCACUUUGUCUGUGAGUCUGUUCCCUAUGACCCUAAGACCGGGGUCAGUUUCCUAGUGCGAUUACUCACCCCUUAUUACUGAGCUUAUCUCCAUUUCUAAAAAAUUUCCACAGAGACAUUUCAGGGUAGUUUACAGGGUAAAGAACAUCACAGGCCUUUCAUGCAAUGCUCUGGAGAAUCAGGGGUUGCUCUGCACCUGGCAGUCAAUCAUCCUUUUGGACAUUCUCUCUGAAAUAAUGUCAGGCCAGGGGAUAUAUUUGGGGAUUGUUUUUACACACGGACACACACCCCUUGCCUAGUCUGACUAUAAAAACCAUAGCAUUUCACACAGGUGGCCAGAAUGUGACCUAUUGUCCAAAUGCCACUCAGAUGACAGCCACCUUCAUCUUUAACACAGAAAUGCAGUCCACUAAGAGUAGAAGCCCAUGCAUACGGUACAGCCAGGUCACUUGGAUCAAGAUGGAGCAUUGCAUGUAGAGACUUAUAGUCUCCACUAGCUGCAUCCCUGUAUUAAAACUGUUCAUAGCUGCAAUUGUUCUCUUUUGUGCAAACUGGGUGUGGCCCUUUUGAAAUGUCACUGAGUUCAGCUGGAUCCAGUCAUGCAGGGCCAAACUGUGGAGAACGCAGACCAGUAAUUAGAACUGAAGAGAGUUAUUUUGCCAUUAUACAACUAUGCAGUGCACUGUCAGCUAAAUAUCACUUUCAGUCAUAGAUGUAUCACUGCAUUUUUUUCCUAGCUGUGUAGGACAGCUCUUCUGUGUAACUAAUUCUGUUUGCAGGUUGGGUCUUUGUGCAUUUCCAUAAUGUAAGAACAAACCCUGAGACAGGGCUGAUAAAGAAAACACCCCCUGAGCGUGAGGAGGGGUGAAAGCACCUGCAGGAGCUCAUUGGGAGUGUUGGGCUUCCCUGGUUCCCCAGUGCAGAGUGAGUGCUAUGGAGAGAGCAAGCAUUCCCCUUCAGUAGCUCUGAAGCGACAAUGGGGUUGGUUUGUCCCAGGAAAGAAGCUGCACUCAGAGCUGCUUUCAUCCAC